rnacentral:rRNA from 1 species
UAGAGGCCUACCAUGGUGGUAACGGGUAACGGGGUGUUAGAGCACGACACCGGAGAGGGAGCCUGAGAAACGGCUACCACAUCCAAGGAUGGCAGCAGGCGCGCAAAUUACCCAAUCCCGACACGGGGAGGUAGUGACAAUAAAUAACAAUACGGGGUUCUUUAGGAUCUCGUAAUUGGAAUGAGUACAAUUUAAAUCUCUUAACGAGGAACAAUUGGAGAGCAAGUCUGGUGCCAGCAGCCGCGGUAAUUCCAGCUCCAAUAGCGUAUAUUAAAGUUGUUGCAGUUAAAAAGCUCGUAGUUGAAUUUCGGGGUUAGUAGGUUGGUCAUGCCUCUGGUAUGUACUGGUCUCACUGAUUCCUCCUUCCUUAUGAACCGUAAUGCCAUUAAUUUGGUGUUGCGGGGAAUUUGGACUGUUACUUUGAAAAAAUUAGAGUGUUUAAAGCAAGCUAACGCUUGAAUACAUUAGCAUGGAAUAAUGAAAUAGGACGUUCGAUCUUAUUUUGUUGGUUUCUAGGAUUGACGUAAUGAUUAAUAGGGAUAGUUGGGGGCAUUAGUAUUCAAUUGUCAGAGGUGAAAUUCUUGGAUUUAUUGAAGACUAACUACUGCGAAAGCAUUUGCCAAGGAUGUUUUCAUUAAUCAAGAACGAAAGUUAGGGGAUCGAAGACGAUCAGAUACCGUCGUAGUCUUAACCAUAAACUAUGCCGACUAGGGAUCGGAU